rfam:Strigamia maritima strain Brora ctg7180001230307, whole genome shotgun sequence.
UAGCUUAAUGGUAAAGCAUCCAACUAGCAAUUGGGGGAUCUGGGUUCAAGUCCCGG